UACGGAGGAUGCGAGCGUUAUCCGGAUUCAUUGGGUUUAAAGGGUGCGUAGGCGGUUCUUUAAGUCAGUGGUGAAAUCCUGCGGCUCAACCGUAGAACUGCCAUUGAAACUGAAGAACUUGAAUAUAGUUGAGGUAGGCGGAAUGUGCAGUGUAGCGGUGAAAUGCUUAGAUAUUGCACAGAACACCGAUUGCGAAGGCAGCUUACCAAGCUAUUAUUGACGCUGAGGCACGAAAGCGUGGGGAUCGAACAGGAUUAGA
rnacentral:rRNA from 1 species